rnacentral:miRNA from 15 species
UAUAUUUCUCGCCUCUACCAAU